rnacentral:rRNA from 1 species
GACGAACGCUGGCGGCGUGCUUAACACAUGCAAGUCGAACGGAAAGGCCCUGCUUUCGUGGGGUGCCCGAGUGGCGAACGGGUGAGUAACACGUGAGUAACCUGCCCUUGACUUUGGGAUAACUUCAGGAAACUGGGGCUAAUACCGGAUAGGAGCUCCUGCUGCAUGGUGGGGGUUGGAAAGUUUAGGCGGUUGGGGAUGGACUCGCGGCUUAUCAGCUUGUUGGUGGGGUAGUGGCUUACCAAGGCUUUGACGGGUAGCCGGCCUGAGAGGGUGGCCGGCGACAUUGGGACUGAGGUACGGCGCAGACUGCAACGUGGGACAGCGGUGGGGAAUAUUGCACAGUGGGCGGAAGUCUGAUACGGAGGCGCCGCGUGCGUGAUGACGGCCUUCGGGUUGUAAACCGCUUUCGCCUGUGACGAAGCGUGAGUGACGGUAAUGAGUAAAGAAGCACCGGCUAACUACGUG